rnacentral:tRNA from 1 species
AUAAACCCAACACACUCUUGUAGCUCAACCCCAAAAGC